rnacentral:rRNA from 1 species
UACGGGCCGGCUNGAGUGCGGUAGGGGAGACUGGAACUCCUGGUGUAGCGGUGGAAUGCGCAGAUAUCAGGAAGAACACCGGUGGCGAAGGCGGGUCUCUGGGCCGUUACUGACGCUGAGGAGCGAAAGCGUGGGGAGCGAACAGGAUUAGAUACCCUGGUAGUCCACGCCGUAAACGUUGGGCACUAGGUGUGGGGGGCCUUUUCCGGGUCUUCUGCGCCGUAGCUAACGCAUUAAGUGCCCCGCCUGGGGAGUACGGCCGCAAGGCUAAAACUCAAAGGAAUUGACGGAGGCCCGCACAAGCGGCGGAGCAUGCGGAUUAAUUCGAUGCAACGCGAAGAACCUUACCAAGGCUUGACAUGUGCCGGUCGGCUCCGGAGACGGGGUUUCCUCCUUGUGGGGCCGGUUCACAGGUGGUGCAUGGUUGUCGUCAGCUCGCGUCGUGAGAUGUUGGGUUAAGUCCCGCAACGAGCGCAACCCUUGUCCCGUGUUGCCAGCACGUUGUGGUGGGGACUCGCGGGAGACUGCCGGGGUCAACUCGGAGGAAGGUGGGGAUGACGUCAAAUCAUCAUGCCCCUUAUGUCUUGGGCUUCACGCAUGCUACAAUGGCCGGUACAGAGGGCUGCGAUACCGUGAGGUGGAGCGAAUCCCUUAAAGCCGGUCUCAGUUCGGAUCGGUGUCUGCAACUCGACACCGUGAAGUUGGAGUCGCUAGUAAUCGCAGAUCAGCAACGCUGCGGUGAAUACGUUCUCGGGCCUUGUACACACCGCCCGUCACGUCAUGAAAGUCGGCAACACCCGAAGCCCGUG